UGCCCUCUAGACUAAUGGUUAGGUCACAUGUCUCUGAAACAUGUUAUUAUUGGUUCGAAUCCAAUGAGGGCAGCCA
rnacentral:tRNA from 1 species